GCCAGUGUCGCAUAAUCCGGUAAUUGAUGUGUUGACUAACACUCAGUUGGGGAACAUUGCGGCUGCCUCGAAAGCAGCUGUCCGCAAGGACUUCCCGGUUCAAAUCCGGGCACUGGCG
rnacentral:tRNA from 1 species